rnacentral:lncRNA from 1 species
AAUUUUCAAAUAUGAGUAAUGUAAUUUAGUGGGUUUUGUUUUUUGAAGACAUCCAAAUAGAAGUGGGAGGCUGUGUGCAGAACUGCCAGAUACUGACUAGCAUCGACUUAAAGCAAUGCUAUCUGUAAAGCAGCAAUAAAACAAUAGGAAGCUGCACUGCAGUGGAUUCUGGCAGGAGUCACUCUUAGCCAUGUGAAGGCUUAACCUUGAUGUCCCUUUUUGAAAAUUAGUUGAGAAUGUUGUGGUUAUUUAAAGGAUAUAUAUGCAUGUAUAUAUAUUGCUAGGGGAUGAAUACUGGGACCAUUACGAGCAGGUACGGUCUUUCACAUCUACCAUAUCCAAAAGGAGAACUUCUUACAUAUUCCACAAAGCGUAGAAAGGAAAUUUUUCUCCAGCAGAAAGAUAGUUUCUACAGUGUGCUUAGAGAGGAGGUUUAUUUUGUUUUGGCUGUUGCUGGCUUUGUUUUUUCCCUUGAAAGCCUAUUUUGUGAUUGUAGAAUGAUGUCAGUUGUCCUCAGUGGCAGACUUGAUGUGUUGAUCACUCACUGUUACAGGGGAUCACAAAAGAUAUCUUCGGUCCAAAGAAAAUCUCCCUGAAAGAUAUUAGAUAUUUAAAUAACUAUAACAUGCAAUAACUUUAACAUGCUAUGCAUUUCCAGGGUUGUUUUUGGUUGUUUCUUUUUUCAAUUUUUGCUAGGUUGUAUGUGUGAUCACUGUGUUUAGGGGAUGCCCUUCCAGCAAUGCAAAAGCAGCUGCAGGUCUGUAUGAAGACACUGUAUAUUUUUUCCUCUGCUGGCCUGGUUCAGAAACAUUGGCAAAACUUUCAUGGACUGACCGGUGUGCCAGAGUUCUAGCAUGGUAUUGUAGCUUUGGGAGGGUAAACUUUAUCAAAUAUAUGAUAUUAUAAAAACAAAGAACUCUGGUGUGUGUACACAUGCUAUUUAGUGCAAUUAGUUCUAUGGGCAGGCCAACAGAGUAGAUAUUCUGUACCUCUAGAUGAGUGAAGAAAGACCUCUUUAUGUAUUUGCAUCCAAGUAAGAGGCUUUCUGGAGCUGUUCAAAGCUCUGUGGUUAAAGCUGGAAACGUAAAGUGUGCUCACAGGGAGGGCACGGUGUCUGGUGAAACAAAUAAUUUGCCUUUUGGAUUUUAGGGAGCUCCAGAACGUUGGGCAAGAGGAGCUCGUGUAGAAAGUCAUUUCUGCUUGUCUGUGUAAUGCUAUCACAUUAGAAUGUCCUGAAGUAUUAGUAAGUUGUCAAGUGUUGAUGUUUUUAUCUAAAUUUCCUGGGAAAAGAUGCACAUCUUUUAUCCUAUCCUAUGUAAGGAUCUGUAGUUCUCAGACUGAGUUUAGAUCGAAGUUGCUGGCAGAAGAGUCAUAAAUUGGAUAAUUUAAAUGCCAAAUUCCCCUCUGCUGGGACGUGCAGGUUUGCGAAGUGUGCUGAGCAUGUCCCGGGUGAGGCUCUGAAAAACAAACAUUGAAAACUGCCAGUGUGUCAGGUAGUCAGAUACAUCUUGAUACAGUUUCAAGCCACCUGAAGAGAUGCACUUCUCUAAAAUGGCACCUUAUUCCAGCAGUGGAAACUGUGAAAUGAUGGAAAUAUGAGUGGCUGCACAGAAACCCCCAAGUUUCUAUGCGUGAGUGUAAUUUUUGAUAGGACAAGGGGGAAUGGUUUUAAACUGAGACAGGGGAGGUUUAGGUUGGAUAGUAGGAAGAAGUUUUUCACACAGAGGGUGGUGACGCACUGGAACAGGUUGCCCAAGGAGGCUGUGGAUGCCCCAUCCUUGGAGGCAUUCAAGGCCAGGCUGGAUGUGGCUCUGGGCAGCCUGGUCUAGUUGUUGGCAACCCUGCCCAUGGCAGGGGGGUUGAAACUAGAUGAUCAUUGUGGUCCUUUUCAACCCAGGCCAUUCUAUGAUUCUAUGAAUCUUACUUUGGACAGCAGAGCAGUUCCUUGAAGUUGCAGUAACAGAUGGUCUCGCAGCCUUCCCCUUCCCAAAAGUGAUCCUGCAGGCUCUCAUCAACUCGCCGGAGGCUCGCCAUGCCUUCGGGGAUGCUGUGGCAGCUGUGGUUGUGCAGGAUCCUCUUGUAGCAUGAGGGCCGCCGGGAGGGCACUGUGUGGACACCCAGGAGGGCACUCAGCAGAAGCAGAACCAAGAGCAUCUUCAUUUUUGGAAAGUUUCCUGUGCAGCAGUGCUAAAUAGAAAUGAGGUAUGUGACAUGGACACAGCUGUUGGAUAGAUCUCUUUCCCCAAUCUGCUUUCUAUCUUAAAUUUUUCUGUCUUUCCUGUGAACUUCCGGAGGCUUGAGCCUCUGUGUUGGAGAGUGUUUUCUCCUAGGAGGUAAAUAAGAUUGCCAUGGAAUUGAUAUUCAUUGCUUUCUGUACAAUCACAGGAAUCCCAUCGCUAGGAACUGAGGCUCCUUUUUUCUGGCAAUUUUGUUGUUACUUGCCCUCUCACCUUGAGAAAAUUGCUCUGAGUUGGCUGUGUUCGCUCAGUGAUGUGAGUGAGCACAUUGCUGGCUACCAAGGCAGGGAGAACGUGAGUCUCAUUGCUUUCCAGGUGAUUUUGGCUGGUUGAGAAUGUUGAAAUGUGUCACUAACUUAACAUUAAUAGUAUGUUUCCCCAUAAAAAAAUACGAGCAUUCCUAGUUCUAACUAUGAUAACAUCUAGAAAGAUUUUGUUGUCUUUCAUUCCAUUGGCACUUAGUUGAUCCCUUUAUGCUGCCACUGCAGACUACUUCUGGGCUGUCACACGUGCAUACUGGAUAGGGUAUUCUAAACUAACCUGGACAUAUAAAGAGCAUUUGGAUGUUGCGUUGAGGGACAUGGUUUAGCAAGAACCAUUGGUGAUGGGCGAAUGGUUGGACUGGAUGAUCCUGUGGGUCUUUUCCAACCUUGGUGAUUCUAUGAUUCCAUGAUUGCUGUCUUUUUGGCUCGCCUCUGAGUUGCCUUGCUCAGGCUGCUGGUGGGGUGCCAACAAUGACAGAGAAGUGUUGAAAAUUGCUGAGUUUUUUUUAUUCCCUGUGAUGGCACCUGGUAGCUGCAAGAGAACUUUAGGGAGAACUUGCUUUUCCACCUUCCUCGAUCUGUGUCUACACACAAUGGAGAGGACCAUUAUGAAUCCCAUUCAACUCGUAUCUAGAGACCCUUUUUUUAUUUACCUGCUGAUCCCUGUUCCUGUCUGGAGAGGUAUGGUAACAUGCAAAGUACAGCUGUUUGGAGAGGGCAGAGAAGUGAUAGCAGCAAUGGUCCAUAGGAGAGAAGGACAAUGUCCCCUGGUAGAGUGAGAAGGAAGAAAGAAAAGGCAGAACUGACAUUCAGCUGCAAAUGAGUGGCAGUUUCUGGUAUAUAAUGUUACCCGAUGUUGAAUUUGUGUAACAUGCCCUUGGGAAAAUAAUCUUUGCUUUUUAAGUACUCAGCAUUCUGCCUAUACUUCACAUUCUUAAUGCAGGCCAUGCAAGUUUAACUUUUUUUUCUGUAAGCACAAAUCGAUUUGCAUUUUACUGUAUUCUCAAUAUAAACAUGCAGCUUUUUGCAGGCUGGCAGUGCAAAAUGCUAGCAUUUUCUCCUCUCACAUUAAAUCUUCUUAAAAGAUGCCAGGCAGCUCAUUAAUGCAUCCAGUUUAUAUGAGGAGAUCUAUAAUGAACCCUAGAACCUGAUUUUGGUGGCUGAUGCAAUCUAAAACUUACAGCUGAUGACUCUAGAGGAAUGUAAAUAUUGUAGGGAUGCAUAAAGACCUUGGGAGACUUGAUACUGAUAGCAAUGGCAGUGCCAGUGCAACUAAGACAUUAACUGCUGUCAUUAUUUGUUACAGGAGCGUGGUUUGUAGGAUGCU